rnacentral:rRNA from 1 species
UGAGUUUGAUCCUGGCUCAGGAUGAACGCUGGCGGCGUGCCUAAUACAUGCAAGUCGAGCGAACGGACGAGAAGCUUGCUUCUCUGAUGUUAGCGGCGGACGGGUGAGUAACACGUGGAUAACCUACCUAUAAGACUGGGAUAACUUCGGGAAACCGGAGCUAAUACCGGAUAAUAUUUUGAACCGCAUGGUUCAAAAGUGAAAGACGGUCUUGCUGUCACUUAUAGAUGGAUCCGCGCUGCAUUAGCUAGUUGGUAAGGUAACGGCUUACCAAGGCAACGAUGCAUAGCCGACCUGAGAGGGUGAUCGGCCACACUGGAACUGAGACACGGUCCAGACUCCUACGGGAGGCAGCAGUAGGGAAUCUUCCGCAAUGGGCGAAAGCCUGACGGAGCAACGCCGCGUGAGUGAUGAAGGUCUUCGGAUCGUAAAACUCUGUUAUUAGGGAAGAACAUAUGUGUAAGUAACUGUGCACAUCUUGACGGUACCUAAUCAGAAAGCCACGGCUAACUACGUGCCAGCAGCCGCGGUAAUACGUAGGUGGCAAGCGUUAUCCGGAAUUAUUGGGCGUAAAGCGCGCGUAGGCGGUUUUUUAAGUCUGAUGUGAAAGCCCACGGCUCAACCGUGGAGGGUCAUUGGAAACUGGAAAACUUGAGUGCAGAAGAGGAAAGUGGAAUUCCAUGUGUAGCGGUGAAAUGCGCAGAGAUAUGGAGGAACACCAGUGGCGAAGGCGACUUUCUGGUCUGUAACUGACGCUGAUGUGCGAAAGCGUGGGGAUCAAACAGGAUUAGAUACCCUGGUAGUCCACGCCGUAAACGAUGAGUGCUAAGUGUUAGGGGGUUUCCGCCCCUUAGUGCUGCAGCUAACGCAUUAAGCACUCCGCCUGGGGAGUACGACCGCAAGGUUGAAACUCAAAGGAAUUGACGGGGACCCGCACAAGCGGUGGAGCAUGUGGUUUAAUUCGAAGCAACGCGAAGAACCUUACCAAAUCUUGACAUCCUUUGACAACUCUAGAGAUAGAGCYUUCCCCUUCGGGGGACAAAGUGACAGGUGGUGCAUGGUUGUCGUCAGCUCGUGUCGUGAGAUGUUGGGUUAAGUCCCGCAACGAGCGCAACCCUUAAGCUUAGUUGCCAUCAUUAAGUUGGGCACUCUAAGUUGACUGCCGGUGACAAACCGGAGGAAGGUGGGGAUGACGUCAAAUCAUCAUGCCCCUUAUGAUUUGGGCUACACACGUGCUACAAUGGACAAUACAAAGGGCAGCGAAACCGCGAGGUCAAGCAAAUCCCAUAAAGUUGUUCUCAGUUCGGAUUGUAGUCUGCAACUCGACUACAUGAAGCUGGAAUCGCUAGUAAUCGUAGAUCAGCAUGCUACGGUGAAUACGUUCCCGGGUCUUGUACACACCGCCCGUCACACCACGAGAGUUUGUAACACCCGAAGCCGGUGGAGUAACCUUUUAGGAGCUAGCCGUCGAAGG